UACGAAGGGGGGCUAGCGUUGUUCGGAAUUACUGGGCGUAAAGCGUGCGCAGGCGGCUGCUCAAGUCAGGGGGUGAAAGCCCAGAGCUCAACUCUGGAAUUGCCUUUGAGACUGAGUGGCUUGAGUACGGGAGAGGUGAGUGGAAUUCCCAGUGUAGAGGUGAAAUUCGUAGAUAUUGGGAAGAACACCGGUGGCGAAGGCGGCUCACUGGCCCGUAACUGACGCUCAUGCACGACAGCGUGGGGAUCAAACAGG
rnacentral:rRNA from 1 species